rnacentral:rRNA from 1 species
UACCAGAGGAAUAAGCACCGGCUAACUCCGUGCCAGCAGCCGCGGUAAUACGGAGGGUGCAAGCGUUAUCCGGAUUCACUGGGUUUAAAGGGUGCGUAGGUGGGCAGGUAAGUCAGUGGUGAAAUCUCCGAGCUUAACUCGGAAACUGCCAUUGAUACUAUCUGUCUUGAAUAUCCUGGAGGUGAGCGGAAUAUGUCAUGUAGCGGUGAAAUGCUUAGAUAUGACAUAGAACACCAAUUGCGAAGGCAGCUCACUACGGGAUUAUUGACACUGAGGCACGAAAGCGUGGGGAUCAAACAGGAUUAGAUACCCUGGUAGU